rnacentral:lncRNA from 1 species
UUCCGGCCGCGCCGUGCCCGCGGAGCGGGGUGCUCGAGGCGGUUUCCGGGGACUGGGCGUCCUGGAUCCCUCUGGGACCGAAGGUCUUAAAGACUGACAGUUUCCAGAGAAAGGCGGCUCUUAGUCGCAGGCUCCCGUCGCGAAAGUAAAGGGAUCCAUGCAAACCGAGGCCCGGAAGAGACAGCCUGGCGGCUACGGGCUGCCGCGAGGUCCAAGCCCCGUGGUUAGGCGUUCCUGCUCGGGGCGGAAUUCUCGCCCGGCGGUCCGGAGCCCGCGGCGGCGUCCCUGAGCCAGCUUUCGGUGUGGCCUGUGCGGUGUGCGGGGAUGAGAGCUCGGAACGGGGGUUGAUGGAGGAGCGGGAGUGGCAGUGAAACGACCGAGCCAGAAAGCACGUGGGGAGAGGGGACAGCGCCAUUGGAGGCCUGAUUUCUGAUCCGCUGAACCGGUGGUUUCUCCCUGAGGGACCUGGAAACCAGCAUCCCAGCGACGCCUUGCAGAUGCUGAGUCCUAAGGUUUUCGAAGGUGCUGCUGACCCAACAAAGCAAAACCAAAGUCCCCGCCUGUCAGGGAGCGCAGAGACUCAUCAAACAGGUAAAUAAGAAUACAGUCAACUUACAAGGACGACUGCUGUGCUCCCGUCGAGGAAAAGACGUAAACAGGGAGCCAGGGCACCUGGGCAUCGACCUGGCCUGGGGUCGCAGGGGAGGGCUUCCUCUACGACGUGAUUUUGGGAAGGACACGUGGGUAUUUGAUGAGGAAAGGAAAGGCGGGCGGGAGUGGAGAAAGAGCUCGAAGCAGAGCUAGGUGUGGAGGCGCUGGCUGGAGAGCAGCAGGGACUGGUGGAGUUUCUGCGAGGAGCCCUGUGCAGAGAGCACGGCAUGGGGAUGCGGCUUGGGACCUGGCUGCGGAGCUCGGGAGGGGCCGGUUCUUAACAACCAAGGAGGGAUUCUGGCCAAAUCUGAGGGCCGUAGCGGCCACUGGAGGGUUUGAUCACAUUUGUGGUUUGUAAAGGUCACUCCGGCUGCUCAUUGGCAAAGAGACCGGCAAAAGGCAAGGACAAAUGCAGGGAAAUGUCCACUAAUGAAUGCUGAUGGAAGAAUCACAUGGCAGCAGUCGACAUUCUGCAACCACCAGGGCAUCGCCCUUGAUGGAUGGUGAGCCACUGGGGGAAAGUUCACGGGAAAAUAGAAGUAGUACAUUUAGAUAUCUAAGUAGUCUCGAAGCUUCUUCCCCACAGAUUGCUAAUUCCUCACAAAGGGAGAAUAAAAUAUAUUUAGGACGUUCUCUUGUCCCGCAGCUAGUUACGGAUCCAGUGUUGUCGCUGCAGCAGCUUGAGUCGCUGCUGUGGCUCAGGUUUGAUCCCUGGCCCAGGAACUUCAGCAUGCUGCGGAUAAGGCCAAAAAAACAACAGGAGUCCCCAGUCGUGGCUCCGUGGUAACGAACCUGACUAGCAUCCAUGAGGAUGUGGGUUCGAUCCCUGGCCUUGCUCACUGGGUUAAGGAUCAGGCAUUCCUGUGAGCUGCGGUGUAGGUCGCAGACUUGGCUCGGAUUCCGUGUUGCUGUAGCUGUGGUGUAGGUCGGCAGCUGCAACUGUGAUUCAACCCCUAACCUGGGAACCUUAUGCCACGGCCCUGGGGGAAAAACAAAACAAAACAAAACAAAAAAAAUACCAACAAAAGCCUUUCCGAUGGAGAAAUCUAUUACCAUUUCAAUCUUGGGUCAAACACCAAAUAUCAGCAAUAAUGAGACAAACUGAUGUUUGUGCAUCCUGGUAGGAUGCCCUGAGGACACACAUCAUUUAUGCAGCACUGCUGCCAAAAAUGUGUUCCCUGACUCCGUGUAGGGGCAGUCAGAACAAUGUACCCUGAGAGGCGUUCACACAGCGCGCAGCCUCUACUCUCAAUGCCAGAGUCCCGGAGGACAAAGGAAAGCUGAGAACCCUUCCAGAUUCAAGGCAUUUAAUGGAAUCCUUUAACGGACUCUGCCUCGAAAAUGGAAGGAGGGGCCCCAAGCCGAAGAAGGCAGGCAGCCUCCAGAAGCUGGAAAAGGCCAGGAAAUCUUCCAGAGGCUCCGGGAGGAACCAGCCCUGCUGACAGCUCAGUUUUAGGAACUGGCCUCCUGAACUGUAAGGCAAUAAACUUGUAUUGUUUGAAGCUACUGCGUCUGCAGUAAUAUGUUACAAAGGGGCCAGGGAAAAGGGACGUGGUGGACAACCAGAAACAGACCCGACGCCGAGCCCCGCCACCUGCUUUAUCUCAUAUAAUAGUUUUUUUUUUUAUUGAUCUUCUAAUCAAAGUAUUUUGCAUAUUGAUUCAGCCAUCAAAUAAAUAUAGUACUUCUC